rnacentral:ncRNA from 1 species
UGGGGAUUGUAAGCAGACUCCCCGGAUUCCCAAGACGCUCGACUUAGCGUCCAAGUUCUGC